rnacentral:rRNA from 1 species
AGUUUGAUCCUGGCUCAGAGUGAACGCUGGCGGCAUGCCUUACACAUGCAAGUCGAACGGUAACAGGUCUUCGGAUGCUGACGAGUGGCGAACGGGUGAGUAAUACAUCGGAGCGUGCCCGAUCGUGGGGGAUAACGGAGCGAAAGCUUUGCUAAUACCGCAUACGAUCUACGGAUGAAAGCAGGGGACCGCAAGGCCUUGCGCGGACGGAGCGGCUGAUGGCAGAUUAGGUAGUUGGUGGGAUAAAAGCUUACCAAGCCGACGAUCUGUAGCUGGUCUGAGAGGACGACCAGCCACACUGGGACUGAGACACGGCCCAGACUCCUACGGGAGGCAGCAGUGGGGAAUUUUGGACAAUGGGCGAAAGCCUGAUCCAGCCAUGCCGCGUGCAGGAUGAAGGCCUUCGGGUUGUAAACUGCUUUUGUACGGAACGAAAAGCCUCUUUCUAAUAAAGAGAGGUCAUGACGGUACCGUAAGAAUAAGCACCGGCUAACUACGUGCCAGCAGCCGCGGUAA